UGAAAGGUGGCAGUAACUCCUUGGGCAAGCCAGUGAGUGAAAGAAAAACAUACUUCUAGUUCCAGGAAUGUUUCCACAUCAGUAGAGCUAGAGGAGACUCUGGAAUUACCUCUUGUAUUCAAAUGUUGAAGCCCAAGACAGGGUGGUUAAGGGCCAAGUGAAAAUAGACAUGGCGAUAACCAGGUCUCUCAGUGUGCAGCCUUUGAUUGGGUUCCUCUGAAAUACUAGAGCCCAUUCUAAGCCCAGGCAUGUAUGUUGCUGCUGAAAACCUAAUGCAAAUCCAAUUUCUGUUCUUCUUUUAAGUAAGCUAGAUUCUUACCUGGGCACUCCAAUUUUUUAAUAACUUCCUUGUUCUCUCAGUAUGAAAAAUAGUUGAAUUCUAUUCAGAGUUUCAGAAUUAGUAUUUCAUUGUAAAGUUAUCAAACGGUGCAAUCAGUGCACACAUAUAUAUACACACGUGCAUCUUUCCAUAUGUGCAUUUUUCUUUUCCCUUUUUUUAUAAUUACUUGCAUGUUAGCCCACUGAUAUUCUUUCAUAGAUCUUUGAGGCUCUGUUGUGCUUCCCUUUCUUUCCUCUUUGUGUUUCAGUUGAGAUCAUUUGCUUUGAUAUGUCUUCAAGUUUGGGCAUUGGUUUGUGUUGAGGGGUUCACUAAGCUAUUCCGUAAUACUUGGAGUAUUGGCAUCCUCUUGUGUGACUAAGGGGCCAGCAGGGGCCUUGAACCACGAGCGUGUGCUCUGCACAGCAAUUUGGAGUCACAAGUUCCUGACAUGACUGCUGAUAAAGUCUCUCCUGCCUCCUAGCUUUCUCCACUUGUGCCCAAGAGCCCCUGGAGCUUACUUAAACCUUGCUGUUUAUGGUUUGAAUGAACUGUGCCUUAGCCCAGGGCCUGCAAAGCACUGCGCCUGUGGACCCUAAUAAUGGCACGCGCCCCCGGUCCUCUGCAGCUGGCGCUCUGCCUGCUCCCGCCUCAGCCGCUCUGCGUGGCCCCCGGAGGCUGCCAUGGACCUCCGCCAGGACCUCACGCCAGGCCUCCCUGUUCAUCACCAUCUCCCGCAGUUUACUCAGACUCACGUCCAUCGAGUCCGUGAUGCCAUCCAGCCAUCUCAUCCUCGGUCGUCCCCUUCUCCUCCUGCCCCCAAUCCCUCCCAGCAUCAGAGUCUUUUCCAGUGAGUCAACUCUUCGCAUGAGGUGGCCAAAGUACUGGAGUUUCAGCUUUAGCAUCAUUCCUUCCAAAGAAAUCCCAAGGCUAAUCUCCUUC
ensembl:lncRNA